rnacentral:rRNA from 1 species
UACGAAGGGGGCUAGCGUUGUUCGGAAUUACUGGGCGUAAAGCGCGCGCAGGCGGCCUUCCAAGUCAGUGGUGAAAGCCCGGAGCUCAACUCCGGAACUGCCAUUGAAACUGUUAGACUUGAGGAUGAGAGAGGUGAGUGGAAUUCCCAGUGUAGAGGUGAAAUUCGUAGAUAUUGGGAAGAACACCAGUGGCGAAGGCGGCUCACUGGCUCAUUACUGACGCUCAGGCGCGAUAGCGUGGGGAUCAAACAGG